GCAGCUGAAAGAAUGUCUAUUCUACAUCAUGAUCGAGAAGUUCGCAAAGAGAAAAUGCUCAGGCAAAUGGAUAAAAUGAAAAGUCCACGAGUGGCUCUUUCAGCUGCAACACAGAAGUCUCUUGAUAGGAAGAAAUACAUGAAAGCUGCUGAAAUGGGAAUGCCAAAUAAGAAAUUUCUGGUUAAACAAAAUCCUUCUGAAACAAGAGUCCUUCAGCCAAACCAAGGACAGAAUGCACCUGUUCAUAGGCUACUUAGUAGACAAGGGUAAGAAUGCCACACACGGGUAUUGAAAACUACGGAAACCAAGAUUAGAUUUGAGAGGGAAAAAUAAAUCUAGUGUUCUUUAUGUAAAGGAUAAUGGUUUUUCAAUGGGAUUUUUUUUCUUUAUAGCAUUGGGAAAGAUAUUUUAAAGUUUUGUCUUCAAAUGUAACCCUCUUGGUGUACUGUUGUGUAUUCUAAUUACUGUCUUAAGUUGGGAUGUUUUUACUUUUCAUUUCAUACCAUUUUACUCAUAAAGUAUUUUAAAUAUCCAUAUAGUAAAUUCAGCAUCACCGAAGUGAUUCUCCAACAGAGUAUGACUCGUGCUUAUAGUCUCCUGCUGAAGCCAGAGUUUAGCUUUCCUUACUGUGCGCAUGCAUGAGACUUCAGUUCUUUUCAAGCUUAUUUGUGCUUUGGACAGUUGAUGCAAUGUGAUUGCUUUCUUUGAAUUUUGAACAUUUAGACCUUAAUGCCAGUGACUUAUUAAUUUUUUUAUAUUCAAUUAGAACCCCUAAGACAUCAGUGAAGGGGGUUGUGCAAAAUAGACAGAAGCCUUCACAGAGCAGAGUGCCUAACAGAGUGCCUGUUUCAGGAGUAUAUGCAGGAAAAAUCCAAAGAAAGCGGCCAAAUGUUGCGACAAUUUAAGAAGACAACAUUCAUUAGGAUAAAAUGGGGGGAAGGAUUAUUAUUCAUGUUAUUUUCCCUGCCCAAGACUUUAUUUAACCCUGGACUCCGUUUACACAGACAAAGUGACAUCAGAAGGCUGAGCACUUAUCUGGAUCAUUUGGUCAGUUUGGUAAUUCCUGCUCCACACCCCUAUUUUCCUCUUAAUAAUACGUUUGGGUGAAGACAAAUUAGUGUUUAGUAAUUGCAUCAUCUCUGUGCUUACCUAUACAAACAUAAGUUUAUUUUAUAUGCCCAGAUGUCUACAGAGACCCUUUUUGUAAAUGUCAAGGACAUUUGGAUUUACUUUUACAGAAUAUUGAAAAGAUAAGACAAAUUAUAAAUAAGUUCUAAAACAUAAAUUUAAUUCAUCUCUGCAUAGUGAUUUUUGAAUUUGAUUCAAAGGGAAAUUAUUGCAGAAGAAUGCCUUUCCCUCAUUUUAUAACUUUAAAAACUUGGAUUAACCACUCAAUGUCCACUUUCUUUGACUUACAGUAUAACCAUGUAGCCAAUUGUGGCCCACUAAAAUCUACAGAAGUUAAUGUGGGUCACCAUUUUGGUCAGAAGCAUACAUUCCUGUCAGACAACUAGUUGUCUGACAGAAAUGUUAGGCUUCAUGUAUGUUACCCCAGUACUGUUAGAAACAUUUGUACUAGGUUAUAAGAUCUUUCUGUGACAGGUAACAAAUUUGGGGAAGACAGCACAAUCUUCUUGAAUGUAGCUCUUGGGAAUGCAUUAUUACAUCCAUUUCUGUAACAUAAUAAUAUGUUGCAUGCAGUUAUAUUUUCUAUUUAGUCUGUAUAUUUUGUUCUUCAUAGUCUGUUUUUUCUAGCAUGCUUGAUUUAGGAGAGAAUAAAGGGCUAUAUAAUAAUAAAUCCAGAUUUCCGGAUAAGAAUAUUGCCUGGUUAAAAUUCUGCAUUGCUUAAAGACACCCAUGUUUAAGAUUUUUCAUCACUAACAUAUCCAUUAAAAGUAUCAACUGGCCAGGCAGGGUGGCUCACGCCUGUACUCCCAGCAUUUUGUGAGGCCAAGGUGGGUGGAUCACCUGAGGUCAGGAGUUUGAGACCAGCCUGACCAAACAUGGCGAAACCCCAUCUGUACUGAAAAUACAAAAAUUAGGCAUGGUGGUGCAUGCCUGUAGUUCCAGCUACUUGGGAGGCUGAGACAGGCGAAUUGCUUGAACCUGGGAGGCAGAGGUUGCAGUGAGCUGAGACUGUGCCAUUGCACUCCAGUCGGGUUAACAGAGCAAGACACUGUCUCAAAAAAAAAAAAAAAAAAAAGUAUCAACCAACAAAUGUUACCAAGAUAACGUGACUUCAUGAGGGAGAAUGUCACUAUUAAUUUAUCAUACCAUUUCCAAAAAGGGCUUUGUGCUUUUCACAUAAAAUUGAGACAGUGUAUAUUUAAUCUAAUUUAAAUUUUAAAGAGAUACUGGUAUUUUGAAAAUGCAACCUAUAUAUAUUCUUAAUAUCCUUUUAAGAAUAUGGAGAUGAAGAUUGUUUUCUCCAAUUUUCUGUGCCAUUUUAAAUUUAACUUUGACAUCCAGCUAUAGACAGAAAUAAUAAGCCACCCUGGGUGUAAACUUGAUUUUCUUUAUUGAGAUGUAUCAUGUAUUGAAUGAGUGAACCAGAAAAUUAGAAGAUGGUCAAAAAAAGUCCAAGUUACCAAUUUUUUAAAAUUUAUAGGCAAAGUAUCAAAUUGUCUUCUUAAUAUGAUAAACUGUGCUUUAUCAUUCUGAAAACUCAGGAUACAGCUUAUUCAUAGCAUUGUGGGUCUCUCCAGUAAGAAAGAUGCUAAAAGUUUUGUGCACUUUUUGUGUGUGUAAUGCAAAUUAGUUAAAACAAAUAGUUUUGGAGAAAGUUAAAACUAGCUUUAGAGUAAGGAUGAGAAACUUGAGUGUUUUUAAUUUAAAGAUAAAAGCCUGUGUUUUACACAUUCUUUUUUGGUGUUCAUAGCUUCUUCUCAUACAGGUGCCAGACACUGUUUGUGCUUUUGAUGGAUUUUUAUUUAUAUACUUUUUUUGCUUAUUUUUACUUUGAGUGGAAUGUUCAUUAAUGUAAAUUGUAUUUAUUUUUAUACUUUUAUUUUCACUAGUUUUGCUUCUAGGCAAAAAGCAAAAUAAACUUUUCAUCUU
rnacentral:lncRNA from 10 species